rnacentral:rRNA from 1 species
UACGUAGGGCGCAAGCGUUGUCCGGAAUUAUUGGGCGUAAAGAGCUCGUAGGCGGCUUGUCACGUCGGGUGUGAAAGCCCGGGGCUUAACCCCGGGUCUGCAUCCGAUACGGGCUAGCUAGAGUGUGGUAGGGGAGAUCGGAAUUCCUGGUGUAGCGGUGAAAUGCGCAGAUAUCAGGAGGAACACCGGUGGCGAAGGCGGAUCUCUGGGCCAUUACUGACGCUGAGGAGCGAAAGCGUGGGGAGCGAACAGG